rnacentral:rRNA from 1 species
GUGGGGAAUCUUGCGCAAUGGGCGAAAGCCUGACGCAGCCAUGCCGCGUGAAUGAUGAAGGUCUUAGGAUUGUAAAAUUCUUUCACCGGGGACGAUAAUGACGGUACCCGGAGAAGAAGCUCCGGCUAACUUCGUGCCAGCAGCCGCGGUAAGACGAAGGGGGCUAGCGUUGCUCGGAAUUACUGGGCGUAAAGGGCGCGUAGGCGGACAGCUUAGUGAGAGGUGAAAGCCCAGGGCUCAACCUUGGGAUGGCCUUUGAUACUGGCUGUCUUGAAGUUGGGAGAGGUGAGUGGAACUCCGAGUGUAGAGGUGAAAUUCGUAGAUAUUCGGAAGAACACCAGUGGCGAGGGCGACUCACUGGCCCAAUACUGACGCUGAGGCGCGAAAGCGUGGGGAGCAAACAGGAUUAGAAACCCUGGUAGUCC